UAGAAAGUGGAUGAAGUGGUU
ensembl:piRNA 21ur-3312 ncRNA